rnacentral:lncRNA from 1 species
GAGCCCUGGACUUUGUUUUAUGGGGUUUGGCUGUCUGGGGCCACCGACAAUUUCAUCCAUCAACUCAGGAUCGCUCCAACACUAAUGCUGAAUUUAUAGAAGUGGUUAAACAAAGUGUUGACAAUAGGGACCGCGUGUUUCUGAUUAACACUGUGAUUCCAAGGGAAGCUGCCAAGUGUGGGGAAGUCAGUAAAACACAGCAGCGAUUUCCCAGG